rnacentral:rRNA from 1 species
GAUGAACGCUAGCGGCAGGCCUAAUACAUGCAAGUCGAACGGUGUAGCAAUACACAGUGGCGCACGGGUGCGUAACACGUAUGCAACCUACCUUACAUUGGGGGAUAGCCUUUCGAAAGGGAGAUUAAUACCGCAUAAGACAGUAACUGGGCAUCCAGUAGCUGUUAAAGAUUUAUCGAUGUAAGCUGGGCAUGCGUCCAAUUAGUUAGUUGGCGAGGUAAUGGCUCACCAAGACGAUGAUUGGUAGGGGAACUGAGAGGUCAAUCCACCACACUGGCACGAGGGUACGGGCCAGACUCGUACGGGGGGCAGCAGUAGGGAAUAUUGGACAAUGGGCGCAAGCCUUACCCAGCCAGGCGGCGUGCAGGAAGAAGGCGUUAUGCGUUGUAAACUGCUUUUAUACAGAAAGAAACGACCCUUGCGAGGGGCAUUGACGGUACUGUAUGAAUAAGCACCGGCUAACUCCGUGCCAGCCGCCGCCGUAACAC